CUCUGCAUAUUUUCCUAAGGCAGCCUUCAAAUGGUGAUGUUUCCUGUCAUCCAGAGUUCAGAAGUGCCUUCUCUUCAACCUUUCUGUGGAAUUCUAAACCACGUGAUAAAGGAGCUGGUGGCCACAGAUCAGCCCUGGGGUUCAGAGGGAUCCUGACGGCUACUCCUCAAGAUCCUCUCUGUUGUGAUUCAUCCCCCCCAGGCCCUACAGUUUCUCCUUCCUGACUCUUACAUUUCUUUGGAUGGCAUCACUAUUUAGAAACUAACUACUAAGUCUCUAUUGGUCAACCAUGUUGGCCAGGCUGGUCUUGAACCCUAGACCUUGUGAUCCACCCGCUUCGGCCUCCAAAAGUGCUAGGAUUACAGGCAUGAGCCACCGUGCCCGGCCCAGAGAGUCUUAAAUACCUGUCUCCUCCCAUAGUUAGUUGCCAAGCACUGUGGAUUCUACCCCUCAGGGUCCAGACACCCAUUUUCCUUCCCACUGUUCCCUCCCCAUGGAGAAGCCUGUGGCUGACUGACAGCUCAACUUGGAGAAGGUGUUACCUGGGCCAGGUGGGGAAGGUAGGGUUGUUUGCAGAGCAAAGAAGUGAAGGAAGUAUUAACCCUUUGCAUGGCCUCCUGAGAAUCUGACAAGACGUAAAUAGCCAAGAAUAUCUGUGGAACUUAAUCAGUGAGUUACAAUAUUUAUCACUGCAAGUGUGUUGUUCAUUGACACUAUAAAGCCAUAUGGAAUUAAGCAGCCUUGAAACACAAAAUGGAGAAAGGCUAAGAGCUGAGAAUUGUUGCCUUCAGGGAAAUAUAAUCAAUGUCAAGCAAACAACCACCC
rnacentral:antisense_RNA from 1 species